rnacentral:rRNA from 1 species
GACGAACGCUGGCGGCGUGCUUAACACAUGCAAGUCGAACGGAAAGGCCCUGCUUUUGUGGGUUUCUCGAUUGGCGAACGGGUGAGUAACACGUGAGUAACCUGCCCUUGACUUUGGGAUAACUUCACGAAACUGGGGCUAAUACCGCAUAGGAUCUCCUGCUGCAUGUUGUGGAUUGGAAAGUUUCGGCGUUUCGGUUAGGACUCGCGGCUUAUCAGCUUGUUGGUGUAGUAGUGGCUUACCAAGGAUUUGACGAGUAGCCGGCCUGGGAGGGUGACCGGCUACAUUGGGACUGGGAUGAGGCCAAGACUGCUACGGGAGGAAGGAGUGGGGAACAUAGGAAACAGGGCGGAAUGAUGAUGGAGGAACGCCGCGUGGGGGAUGACGGCUUUCGGGUUGUAAACCGCUUUCGAGUGUGACGAAGCGUGAGUGAGGGUACUGGGCAGAGAAGCACGGGUUAAUUCCGU